rnacentral:rRNA from 1 species
AAUGAACGUUGGCGGCGUGGAUUAGGCAUGCAAGUCGAGCGCUCAUAGCAAUAUGGGAGCGGCGAACGGCGUAGUAAUACGUAGGAACGUACCCUCGGGUCGAGGAUAGCUAUGGGAAACUGUAGGUAAUACUCGAUAACCUCUGCGGAGCAAAGGUGUGAUUCCGCCCGAGGAGCGGCUUACGCGAUAUUAGCUAGUUGGUAGGGUAAUGGCCUACCAAGGCGAUGAUGUCUAGGGGGUGUGAGAGCAUGGCCCCCCACGACCGGAACUGAGAUACUGUCCGGACACCUACGGGUGGCUGCAGUCGAGAAUCUUCCGCAAUGGACGAAAGUCUGACGGAGCGACGCCGCGUGCGGGAUGAAGGCCCUUGGGUUGUAAACCGCUGUCAGAGGGGAUGAAAUCUUCGGAGGUACUCCUCCGAAGUUGACAGAGCCUCAAAGGAAGCACGGGCUAAGUACGUG